GGGGGCGUUUGGUUUUGACAGCGUAGCUCUUUGGAAGUGUAAGCAUGUACUGCGUUGCGUAAUUAGCAGUUUAAUCUGAAUACGAAAAACACAAAUGGCAAUACACAGUAUGCCAUGGCUGCCUAAUCAGUGAUUAAGUAGUCAUUAGGGCCGCCGGGCCGGUUGAUCUGUUACCACGCCCCGCCGCCGACUCAAAAACAAAACAGGUUGCUGCAACCACAGGCUGUGCCGGUUGCUUAAGACUAUCCAGCUAAGGAAUUAAUCGGUUGUUCAUUUUAUCCUCCGUAGCCCCGGCGAAGGAGGGUUCCCAGUUGAUUCCCGAAAACUCAAAAUGAAAUAAACAUGUAGAAAGCUUUUGAAGAAUAUGUUUGGACACCGGUUCGAUUCCGGUCGCCUCCACAU
rnacentral:tmRNA from 1 species